AAAUGACUUAAAACAUCACAAUAAAAUAACAACAACGACAUAAAAUUAGUAGUAUUUAUGUCUUUUCCAUGCUAGCAACGAGCAUGGGAAGUAAGUACUAACUCCUUGGAAAACACCGGCAAAGGUCAAAACAAAAGAAACUUUGAAGUUACUGAGCAGCUUCUAAAAGAAACUUCGGGAAAAGAAAGGACCAAUGAACCAAAAAUUUGGAGCAGCGAAACAGCCGACGGGGACUCCGUCUCUGGCCUGGUCAUGCGUCGUCGUCAUCGUUUCACUUCUCGCCGGCGCUUCCGUCGUCCACAACGUCUACAAGCCUAAUCUCACACUACCACCGGUUGAAAAUGUGGAUGAGGCUAAGAAGAAACAACCUGAAAACAAAGAAUGAGCAUUUUUAUUUCUUUUUGUGGCUAUUGUUUCAAUACAUUUGUUUUCUGAUUUAGUAAGAACAAUUAGAUUAUUUGCAAGAAGAUAUGAAGAUGCUUAGUUUUUUAGCGAUCAUGUUUCUUGAUUCUUGAAAGGGAAAAAUGAAUUUGAGUUUUCAACAAUGGCAUUGUAGUACCCUUGUAUUAAACUUGCAUUUGUUUUGUUCUAUCUGAAUCCUAAGAUCCUUCUUUAAA